AUUUGUUCAUUUGAUGAUGUCACAUUCAACUUUUUUUCUCUUUUCUCUUCCCCGAAUGACAAAUCUAAUUUACUUUUCACUUUUCUCUUUUCUCUUUUCUCACUUAUCUCUCUUUCUGAAACCUCUUUCUCUACCCUCUUCAUCUUCCUCUCCUCUGACAUAUUGUUAUACAUUCAUUUAGAGUAUUAACACAUACUAUGGAGAAAGUGAAAAAGAAAUUGCCAAGCUUGAAUUUCCAUAUUUCGUAAAAGAAGUUUUGAUCUGUUUCCAUAUUGUGAUACGAGUUCAAGACAACCAAUGGCUGAGAAGUUUGAUUUUGAUUUCAUUGAUUGCUUCUUUUGAGUUCGGCCUCAAUUUCGUUUCCAGGGUUCUGGGCUACAAAGAAACUUCAUUUUUCAUGUCGCCUCAGAGGUUGCACCUUGCUUGUGUUCUUUAUCUUAUUUAUUUUUGGUUUUGUUAAAUGUUAGGUACUUGACAUUUUCUGUUAUAUCUUCUGUUGUAACUAACAUAUGUCAUUGCUUCGGAAAUUGUCACCGGAUAUAUGUGAUGCGGGUGAAGGUGAUUUUGACAUUUCAAAUUAUGCAGACAGAUGCUUUUUGAGUAUCUUGAAGAUAGUAAGAUGCGAAUCUCAAAGAUGUGUAUUUCAUCUCCCACUUCCAUCUCCCACUUUUAUACAAAAUAAUAUUGGUUUGAGGUUGUACUAUACCAUUUUUUGUCUCCUUAAUCCCACUGGAUAUUUUUGUGCUGACCAUAUGAAAAUGUUCAACACUUAAUAUGUUGUAAUUCAUAUGCUACAUAUGCUUACUUGACUUUGUGUUUGAGAUAGUAAAGUGAUUCAAAUUACUACAUAUACUGAUUUGGAAGAAUCAAAGAGUACGUUAAGUGUUUAAUUAAUACCAUUUUAAGUUUUAAGUUUCAACAUUUAUUAAUAUGAUUUAAUAUUUUUGUCACUGUUAUUGAAGGCAUGCCCUUUCUAUCCUUGCUGCAAAUGAUGAAUACAGAUGGAAUUUCCCUAGCAUUUGGAUGGAACAAACAUGGACACCUAGGUCAGGGUUCUGUAAAAAAUGGUAUCUUUUACUAAGUAUUUGGCAAAUAUAUGCUAUGUGAUUUCCAUUGUGUACAUUUUAACCAGGGUUUAUUAUUUGUUAAUGUGAUUUAUACUUGUCUUAGGCUUGGUUUAGAUGUUACAUUGUCAGUAAAAUUCCAACACACCCGCGUAGUAACAUAACUAUGCGCUCGUGUACGAGCAUGUGGUAAUGGAUGCUAUAAGGGAGACUCAAGUCAGAAUAUAGGAAUGAUGAAAUCAGGAAAAAGUUGCACGAUUUGUGUUCCUAAUCCUUUAUGUCAAUUAUUAUGAUGAAAUGAUUUUGGUUGGUUGAGUUUUCUGUGUAGUUUUCAUGGAAGGAACUAAGAUGAUGUCUAUUAUUGUGAUGGAAUGGUUUUAGUUGGUUGAGUAAUGAUUUUGGUUUGUUGAUUUUUCUGUUUAGUUUUCAUGAAUUGAACACCAAUAGUAAAAACCAGGAGGUUCUCCAAGAUGUAAUGAUUUUUCUGUUUUGUGUAAAUAGCUUAUUUGAGUAAAUAACUUAUUUGAGUUCUUCUUCAAUCAAUAGCUUAUUUUGUGUAAUGAUUUUUCUGUCUUGUGUAAAUAGCUUAUUUGAGUUCUUCAACCAAUACUUAUUUGAAUUUAUUUACUUACAUAAACACUGUUUGCAGCUAAUUUGGUACUUUAUAUACUCAUAAUUUCAUAACCUGACUUUGUUACUUUUUGAAGCUAAUUUCUCAACAAAGAGUUUCAUUAGAACAUGCUACUAUGGUUAUGGCAGACUAUUGAAAUCGUAUUCCCAUGUUUUUCCUUUUCUUUGUGUGAAUCUUGAACUGUUAAUCUUACAACAUGAGUUUCAUUUUGUUUGCUUAACUUCUUAGCAUUUUUUUACUUACUGAGUUUGUUUUAGUUACUUCUCAUGUUAUGUACUUGAAGUUCAAAGCCUGUAUUUCAAGAUGUUUUGAUGUUUUUUUUUGCAAAAUGAAGACCUAACUCCAAUGCAAUCCGCCACUAAGCUAAAGCACAUUAAGAAGGAGUGAUUAUGUGUCCAUAUCUUUGCAAGCCUCACUUUUGGAUGAAUCUUAUUGUUUUGUCGACACCAUUUAUUGAAGGAUUUGAUCCAACUUCUAAGUCCUGUGACUGUUUUAGCAUGUCGUUAUGCAUGUUGAUUGUUUUUUUGGAAUAUAGUUUGAACUAAUCAACUCUGGAAUUAUGGGUAUUGUAAUGAAGUUUGCAAUAUUAAUUAUUUUGUUAAUCUGUUAUUCUCUUA